rnacentral:rRNA from 1 species
UGUAGUAAUGUCUGGGAAACUGCCCGAUGGAGGGGGAUAACUACUGGAAACGGUAGCUAAUACCGCAUAACGUCUUCGGACCAAAGUGGGGGACCUUCGGGCCUCACACCAUCGGAUGUGCCCAGAUGGGAUUAGCUAGUAGGUGGGGUAAUGGCUCACCUAGGCGACGAUCCCUAGCUGGUCUGAGAGGAUGACCAGCCACACUGGAACUGAGACACGGUCCAGACUCCUACGGGAGGCAGCAGUGGGGAAUAUUGCACAAUGGGCGCAAGCCUGAUGCAGCCAUGCCGCGUGUAUGAAGAAGGCCUUCGGGUUGUAAAGUACUUUCAGUGGGGAGGAAGGCGUUAAGGUUAAUAACCUUGGCGAUUGACGUUACCCGCAGAAGAAGCACCGGCUAACUCCGUGCCAGCAGCCGCGGUAAUACGGAGGGUGCAAGCGUUAAUCGGAAUUACUGGGCGUAAAGCGCACGCAGGCGGUCUGUCAAGUCGGAUGUGAAAUCCCCGGG